GGCGGUGUGAUGGAAUUGGUAGACAUGACGGAUUCAAAAUCCGUUGCCUUUACCGGCGUGGCGGUUCGAGUCCGCCCACCGCUACCA
rnacentral:tRNA from 1 species